UAUAGGAAUUUUAGCUUAUAGUUUUUAUACAAGUUUAUUUUACAUGUAAAGUUUAGUUUGAAAAAUUUAAUUUUUAGAAAAAAAUUUACGUUGAUUUACAGUAGUAAGAUUUGUUAAUUUAAGAGAUUGAGAAAUAGUAAAUUUAAGAGUUUAAACAAAUUUUGUGCCAGCAGUUGCGGUUAGACAAAUUAGGCAAUAAAAAUUUAUUAGUAAUAGUUAAUUAUAAAUCUUAAGUUUAUGAAAGGAUUUUUUAAGUGAAAUUUCAUAUUUUUAUAAGCUUAAAAUUGGUUAAUGAAGCUAGUAAGGUUUCUUUAUAAACUAGGAUUAGAUACCCUAUUAUUGAAAAAGUAAAAUUUUAGCUAGGUUAUUAGUAGAUAUAUUCUUGAAAACCAAAAAAGAUGGCGGUAUUUUAGUCUAUUCAGAGGAACCUGUUCUAUAAUUGAUAAUCCACGAUUUGAGUUACCUAAUUUUUUAGUUUUCAUAUCGUUGUAAUUUAAAUAUUUUAAUAGGAUAAAUAUUUACAAUUCUUAAGAGAUAAAAAUCAAAUCAAGAUGUAGCUUAUAGUUAGGAAGAAAUGGGUUACAAUAAAUUUAUUUAAAUGGAUUUAUUUUUUUAAUAAGAUUUUGAAGGUGGAUUUGAAAGUAAUUUUUUAUAAAUUUUAAAAAUGGCUUAGCUCUAAAAUAUGUACAUAUCGCCCGUCGCUUUCAUCUUUAAAAUGAAAUAAGUCGUAACAAAGUAGAGGUACUGGAAAGUGUCUCUAGAAGCCA
rnacentral:ncRNA from 1 species